rnacentral:rRNA from 1 species
UACGGGGGGAGCAAGCGUUGUUCGGAUUUACUGGGCGUAAAGGGCGCGUAGGCGGCCACCGCAAGUCGACUGUGAAAUCUCCGGGCUUAACCCGGAAAGGUCAGCCGAUACUGCGGGGCUAGAGUGCAGAAGGGGCAACUGGAAUUCUCGGUGUAGCGGUGAAAUGCGUAGAUAUGCGGAGGAACACCAGUGGCGAAGGCGGCCACCUGGACCGUCCCUGACGCUCAAACACGAAAGCUAGGGUAGCGAACGGG